AAUCAUUUUGCUCCAAAAAUGAUUCAUUAUUCCUAUGUUGGAAUGUAUUGCAGACACAUUUUGGCAUCCAUCCACUUCAACAACAACUUAAGGCGUGAUGUAAAGAUGAAGAAUGAUGGCACUUUCCAAAUAAAUGUGGUGUAUCCAAAGUUUAAAAAUGGUGAAGGAACUGUGAGGGAUGUCAGAGUUAAGCCCAAAUUUGAGUAUGUGGAUGAAUUAUUUGAGAGU